rnacentral:sRNA from 19 species
CCCGAGCUGUCCAACGCCGCAACCUAAUGCGAGUCCACUACUGUGGGUGGCAGCAAGUAGCGCCAUACGGGGAGUAGGGGCGACUACGUCAUCGCCGGACGUUUCUGCCGGCAAA